rnacentral:rRNA from 1 species
AACGAACGCUAGCGGGGAUGCCUCAAACAUGCAAGUCGUACGCGAAAGUGGCUUCGGCCAUUAGUAGAGUGGCGCACGGGUGCGUAACACGUAACUAACGUUCCGCUUCGCUGGGGAUAACUCCGGGAAACCGGAGCUAAUACCGAAUAAUCUGUCGAGGUCUGCGGGACCUUGCCGGUAAAGCCGUAAGGCGCGAAGUGAUCGGGUUGCGGCCUAUUAGCUAGUUGGUGGGGUAAUGGCCUACCAAGGCACGAUAGGUAGCUGGUCUGAGAGGAUGAUCAGCCACACUGGAACUGAAACACGGUCCAGA